rnacentral:rRNA from 1 species
AUUGAACGCUGGCGGCAGGCUUAACACAUGCAAGUCGAGCGGAGAUGAGGUGCUUGCACCUUAUCUUAGCGGCGGACGGGUGAGUAAUGCUUAGGAAUCUGCCUAUUAGUGGGGGACAACAUUCCGAAAGGAAUGCUAAUACCGCAUACGCCCUACGGGGGAAAGCAGGGGAUCUUCAGACCUUGCGCUAAUAGAUGAGCCUAAGUCGGAUUAGCUAGUUGGUGGGGUAAAGGCCUACCAAGGCGACGAUCUGUAGCGGGUCUGAGAGGAUGAUCCGCCACACUGGGACUGAGACACGGCCCAGACUCCUACGGGAGGCAGCAGUGGGGAAUAUUGGACAAUGGGCGGAAGCCUGAUCCAGCCAUGCCGCGUGUGUGAAGAAGGCCUUUUGGUUGUAAAGCACUUUAAGCGAGGAGGAGGCUACCUGGAUUAAUACUCUAGGAUAGUGGACGUUACUCGCAGAAUAAGCACCGGCUAGCUCUGUGCCAGCAGCCGCCGUAAGAC